rnacentral:rRNA from 1 species
GACGAACGCUGGCGGCGUGCUUAACACAUGCAAGUCGAACGGAAAGGCCCUGCUUUUGUGGGGUGCUCGAGUGGCGAACGGGUGAGUAACACGUGAGUAACCUGCCCUUGACUUUGGGAUAACUUCAGGAAACUGGGGCUAAUACCGGAUAGGAGCUCCUGCUGCAUGGUGGGGGUUGGAAAGUUUCGGCGGUUGGGGAUGGACUCGCGGCUUAUCAGCUUGUUGGUGGGGUAGUGGCUGACCAAGGCUUUGACGGGUAGCCGGCCUGAGAGGGUGACCGGCCACACGGGAACGGAGACACGGGCAAGACUCCGACGGGAGGCAGCAGUAGGGAAUCUCCGGCAAUGGGCGAAAGCCGGACGGAGCAACGCCGCGUGAGUGAUGAAGGUCGCCGGAGCGGAAAGCGCGGUGAGUAGGGAAGAACAAAUGUGGAAGGAACUAUGCACGGCGUGACGGGACCUAAACAGAAAGCAACGGCUAACGACGUG